rnacentral:rRNA from 1 species
CCUACGGGUGGCAGCAGUGGGGAAUAUUGCACAAUGGGGGAAACCCUGAUGCAGCGACGCCGCGUGAGUGAAGAAGUAUUUCGGUAUGUAAAGCUCUAUCAGCAGGGAAGAAAUAGCGACCUUUGGGUCGCCAGACGGUACCUGAUUAAGAAGCCCCAGCUAACUACGUGCCAGCAGCCGCGGUAAUACGUAGGGGGCAAGCGUUAUCCGGAUUUACUGGGUGUUAAGGGAGCGUAGACGGCAGCGCAAGUCUGAAGUGAAAUGCCGGGGCUUAACCCCGGAACUGCUUUGGAAACUGUGCAGAUAGGGUGCAGGAGAGGUAAGUGGAAUUCCUAGUGGAGCGGUGGAAUGCGUAGAUAUUAGGAGGAAAACCAGUGGCGAAGGCGGCUUACUGGACUGUAACUGACGUUGAGGCUCGAAAGCGUGGGGAGCAAACAGGAUUAGAUACCCGAGUAGUC